rnacentral:rRNA from 1 species
UUAAAUUGAAGAGUUUGAUCAUGGCUCAGAUUGAACGCUGGCGGCAGGCCUAACACAUGCAAGUCGAACGGUAACAGGAAGCAGCUUGCUGCUUCGCUGACGAGUGGCGGACGGGUGAGUAAUGUCUGGGAAACUGCCUGAUGGAGGGGGAUAACUACUGGAAACGGUAGCUAAUACCGCAUAAGUCGCAAGACCAAAGAGGGGGACCUCGGGCCUCUUGCCAUCGGAUGUGCCCAGUGGGAUUAGCUUGUUGGUGGGGUAACGGCUCACCAAGGCGACGAUCCCUAGCUGGUCUGAGAGGAUGACCAGCCACACUGGAACUGAGACACGGUCCAGACUCCUACGGGAGGCAGCAGUGGGGAAUAUUGCACAAUGGGCGCAAGCCUGAUGCAGCCAUGCCGCGUGUAUGAAGAAGGCCUUCGGGUUGUAAAGUACUUUCAGCGGGGAGGAAGGGAGUAAAGUUAAUACCUUUGCUCAUUGACGUUA